rnacentral:tmRNA from 1 species
GGGGGCGACCUGGCUUCGACGUGGGUUGCGAAACCUGAGGUGCAUGCCGAGGGACAGAUUACCUCGUAAAUCCAGCUGUAACACUUAUAGUUGCCAACGACGACAACUACGCUUUAGCCGCUUAAAAACCGGUGUAAAGCCUUCGGCCCGGCGCGUGCCUGUACGCCCGGAUCACCGGAGUCAUCCCAUACAGGAUCGCGCUGAAACUAGUCCGGGGUGGAUGCGCUAAAACCUAAUCCGGAAUCGCUGUCUGUUUUCCCUGCCCGUCGGGUAGCAGCCAGUUAAAUUUAAAGACGUGGAUAAGCAUGUAGAGCCAAUGGCAGAGGGCUUGCGGACGCGGGUUCGAUUCCCGCCGCCUCCACCA